UACGUAGGGUGCAAGCGUUAAUCGGAAUUACUGGGCGUAAAGCGUGCGCAGGCGGUUGUGCAAGGCAGGUGUGAAAGCCCCGGGCUCAACCUGGGAACUGCAUUUGUGACUGCACGGCUAGAGUGUGUCAGAGGGGGGUAGAAUUCCACGUGUAGCAGUGAAAUGCGUAGAUAUGUGGAGGAAUACCGAUGGCGAAGGCAGCCCCCUGGGAUAACACUGACGCUCAUGCACGAAAGCGUGGGGAGCAAACAGG
rnacentral:rRNA from 1 species